GUUUAUGGGAAGAAACGACGAUGUGAUCAAUUCUUCAAGGUCAAGCUGUCUGCACUUUCCUCCUCCCUUUGAAGUUUCAUGGGGGUUGAGGGAAGCCCACUUGGAAGAGUUUGUUUUUCCCUUCCAGCUACCAGAUCGGGCCUGUUGAAGUAGAAAGUGCCCUGGCAGAGCAUCCUGCUGUCCUGGAGUCGGCUGUGGUCAGCAGCCCAGACCCCAUCAGGGGAGAGGUGGUAAAGGCAUUUAUAGUCCUUACUCCAGCCUACUCCUCUCAUGACCCAGAGGCACUAACGCGGGAACUCCAGGAACAUGUGAAAAGGGUGACUGCUCCAUACAAAUACCCCAGGAAGGUGGCCUUUGUUUCAGAACUGCCAAAGAUGGUUUCUGGAAAGAUCCAAAGGAGUAAAUUGCGAAGUCAGGAGUGGGGGAAAUGAGGUGCAACCCCAGGAAGGCCCCGUAGACCUCCUAAGAGUCCACGAGAUACUAAUGGAUCACUGGUCAGCCCCCAUGGGGAGCAUCAUCUCUUCAACCCUAAAGAUGUCAAAGGUGUGCAGCUUCCAAAUGGCAUCCCCAGGAUCACUGGGCAAUGCUGGAAAGAGCAAAAGAAUAUCAUUGGCCCUGACCACAUAGAUGCUGCGCCGCCUAGCAAAUGCUUGGUGGUUCGACUUCUCCCUCUGUCUGGGGGCAGGCUCAGCAUCUGCCCACUGGUCUCACUAAGAGCUUUCAGAUUUCCCUCCACAGGACAGGUUACCAUAGACUUGGGGCACUUGUGGGUACUCAUUCUCUGCCAGUGGGAAUGUAAAGCUUUCAUCCUUUGUAUGCAACCAUUUGGUAAAAAUAUGCAGGAACAUAAAAUAAAAUAUCCUUUAGCUCAGAAAUUCUACCUUCGGGAGUCACCACAAAAGAAAAAAAUCAAAAUGCAGAAAAUGUGUGGUGCACUAAGAUGAUCACACAGCAUUAAAACUAAAAAAAAAAAAAAAGAAAAAAUUAACAAUUAACAUCCAAACAACAAGGAAAUGAUUAACAAAAUUGUAGUAGAUUAACUCAAUAACAUAUG
rnacentral:lncRNA from 1 species